rnacentral:rRNA from 1 species
GGAUGCGAUCGUACCAGCACUAAAGCACCAGAUCCCAUCAGAACUUUGAAGUUAAGCAUGCUUGGGAGAGAGUAGUACUAGGAUGGGUGACCUCCUGGGAAGUCCUGGUGUUGCAUUCC